UACGAGGGGGGCAAGCGUUGUUCGGAAUUAUUGGGCGUAAAGGGUGCGUAGGCGGUCUGACAAGUCUGAUGUGAAAUCUAUGGGCUCAACCCAUAGUCUGCAUCGGAAACUGUCGGGCUUGAGUAUGGGAGAGGUGAGUGGAACUCCGAGUGUAGAGGUGAAAUUCGUAGAUAUUCGGAAGAACACCAGUGGCGAAGGCGACUCACUGGCCCGUUACUGACGCUGAGGCGCGAAAGCGUGGGGAGCAAACAGG
rnacentral:rRNA from 1 species